AUUAAACGGCGAAUUUCGUAUUUUUCCCAAAAGUUUGAAAAAAAACGCGAUUUUUUCGUCAAAAAUUAUUAUUCGCGAAUUAAUCGCGAUUCGCGAACAAUUCGCCCAAAAAAUCGGCGAUCGCGGUCGCGGACUUGCGGCCGAGGGUCGCAUCGUCGCCGCUCUUGUCGCCGCUCGCGUCGCCGCCGGUCUCGUCGCCGCUCGCGUCGUCGCCGCCGCUCUCGUCGCCGCUCGCGUCGUCGUCGUCCUCCGCCGCCCUCGCCGGCGCCGGGAGCAAGGGCCGCGGCGGCGGAUCCCAUCUCCUCGUCCGAGUCGUCUCCAAAAUGGGAAAGAUGAACAGUAAAAAUUAUCGGGGCUUUGGGAGGUUGGGAUUGUGCGCGGUCCACGAGGCUAUUUCAGCCUCGUGGACCGCGUGAGGGGAGGUCCACACUCCACAGUGGACCUCCCUCUCAU
rnacentral:lncRNA from 1 species